GGAGGGAUGGCAGAGCGGUCGAUUGCAACGGUUUUGAAAACCGUCGUGGCGCAAGCCACCGGGGGUUCAAAUCCCUCUCCCUCCGCCA
rnacentral:tRNA from 1 species